CGCCAAUGUUGAUCUAGACUCGCAAAGGAAGGGAAAGUGUGUCGUUCUGAAGACUUCUACGCGUCAGACCAUCUUUCUACCUGUUGUUGGGCUUGUUGACCCUAAUAUAUUAAAACCUGGAGAUUUGGUUGGUGUCAACAAAGAUAGUUACCUUAUAUUGGACACUCUUCCAUCUGAAUAUGAUUCACGCGUUAAGGCUAUGGAGGUCGAUGAAAAACCAACGGAAGAUUACAAUGAUGUUGGUGGCCUGGAAAAACAGAUUCAAGAGCUUGUGGAAGCUAUCGUGUUGCCAAUGACUCACAAAGAGAGGUUUCAGAAAUUGGGAGUCCGUCCACCAAAAGGAGUGCUCUUAUAUGGUCCCCCUGGAACUGGGAAGACACUAAUGGCCCGUGCAUGUGCUGCACAAACUAAUGCAACUUUCCUGAAGCUUGCAGGUCCCCAGCUUGUCCAGAUGUUCAUUGGUGAUGGAGCAAAACUAGUCCGCGAUGCCUUUCAGCUUGCAAGGGAAAAAUCUCCCUGCAUUAUAUUUAUCGACGAGAUUGAUGCUAUUGGGACCAAAAGAUUUGAUAGUGAAGUAAGUGGGGAUAGGGAAGUACAGCGCACAAUGCUUGAGUUGCUUAAUCAGCUUGACGGCUUCAGCAGUGAUGACCAAAUAAAGGUGAUUGCAGCAACUAAUCGUGCAGACAUCUUGGAUCCCGCCCUCAUGCGAUCAGGUAGAUUGGAUCGGAAGAUUGAGUUUCCUCACCCAUCCGAAGAAGCGAGGACCCGCAUUUUGCAGAUACACUCGAGAAAAAUGAACGUUAAUCCUGAUGUCAACUUUGAAGAACUUGCUCGGUCUACUGAUGACUUUAAUGGGGCUCAACUGAAGGCGGUUUGUGUCGAAGCUGGCAUGCUUGCAUUGCGGCGGGAUGCUACCGAGGUGAUGCAUGAGGAUUUUAAUGAGGGGAUAAUUCAGGUGCAGGCCAAGAAGAAAGCCAGCUUGAACUAUUAUGCUUAGGCAAUCGGCAUUUGUAGAAGGGACGGAUUUGUUUGUUGGUGAAUGCGAAAGGUUCAAUUUCAUAUUUAUUUUGUAUUUGUCUAACAUACCGUCCAGAUUGUUGC
rnacentral:misc_RNA from 1 species